UGAAUUUGGUGCUUGCACCAAAUGAAACUAGAUACAAGCGAGCGGCGGACGGGUGAGUAACACGUGGGUAACCUGCCCAAGAGACUGGGAUAACACCUGGAAACAGAUGCUAAUACCGGAUAACAACACUAGACGCAUGUCUAGAGUUUAAAAGAUGGUUCUGCUAUCACUCUUGGAUGGACCUGCGGUGCAUUAGCUAGUUGGUAAGGUAACGGCUUACCAAGGCAAUGAUGCAUAGCCGAGUUGAGAGACUGAUCGGCCACAUUGGGACUGAGACACGGCCCAAACUCCUACGGGAGGCAGCAGUAGGGAAUCUUCCACAAUGGACGCAAGUCUGAUGGAGCAACGCCGCGUGAGUGAAGAAGGGUUUCGGCUCGUAAAGCUCUGUUGGUAGUGAAGAAAGAUAGAGGUAGUAACUGGCCUUUAUUUGACGGUAAUUACUUAGAAAGUCACGGCUAACUACGUGCCAGCAGCCGCGGUAAUACGUAGGUGGCAAGCGUUGUCCGGAUUUAUUGGGCGUAAAGCGAGUGCAGGCGGUUCAAUAAGUCUGAUGUGAAAGCCUUCGGCUCAACCGGAGAAUUGCAUCAGAAACUGUUGAACUUGAGUGCAGAAGAGGAGAGUGGACUCCAUGUGUAGCGGUGGAUGCGUAGAUAUAUGGAAGA
rnacentral:rRNA from 1 species